GAACGCUAGCGACAGGCUAACACAUGCAGGUCGAGGGGCAGCAUAAAGUAGCAAUACGUUGGUGGCGACCGGCGCACGGGUGAGUAACGCGUAUGCAACCUACCUAUCAGAGGGGAAUAACCCGGCGAAAGUCGGACUAAUACCGCAUAAAACAGGGGCACCGCAUGGUGAUAUUUGUUAAAGAAAUUCGCUGAUAGAUGGGCAUGCGUUCCAUUAGGUAGUUGGUGAGGUAACGGCUCACCAAGCCGACGAUGGAUAGGGGAACUGAGAGGUUGGUCCCCCACACUGGUACUGAGACACGGACCAGACUCCUACGGGAGGCAGCAGUGAGGAAUAUUGGUCAAUGGGCGAGAGCCUGAACCAGCCAAGUCGCGUGAAGGAAGAAGGAUCUAUGGUUCGUAAACUUCUUUUGCAGGGGAAUAAAGUGCAGGACGUGUCCUGUUUUGUAUGUACCCUGAGAAUAAGGAUCGGCUAACUCCGUGCCAGCCGCCGC
rnacentral:rRNA from 1 species